rnacentral:rRNA from 1 species
GAAUGAAAAGAUUCAGUAUCUUACAUUUGGUCGACCAUUACAUUUUAAAUGUGAUAAUUUUUAAUAUCUUGUAUAUUAUAAUUACACUAAUUUGUUUUGAGAUUUGGCUAUGGAGAUAUGCACUUCUUUUCUAGUAGGACGUUGCAACCCAUUGGAUGUUAAUCUAAGGUCCCUUAUUGGUAGCCUAUUUUAUAUAUAUUUCGGUAUAUGUGAUUUAGACCUUAGGUGUUUUGCCUGAUUAACUUGUUCGAUGGUAUAUCUUUAUAUUAAUUGGAUCGCCACUAUUUAGGCAUUUAUACUUAAUUCAAGUGUGUAUGGAUUAAAUUUUAGAUAUCAGACCUAGUUCUGGUACUAAAACCAUUAUACUGUUGGAAUUUUGUUUUAUCUAAAUAGAUCCAUGCUUUGUAUUUGGUUAGCAACGCUUUU